rnacentral:lncRNA from 1 species
UAUGCUAAAAAAUCUUAUAAAACUAAUUAAAUAUAGUGAAUGUUAAUUCUUUGUAUUUAUUUAUAUUUUUCUAAUAAUAAUAAUUAUAAAAAAAAAUUAAAGUUAGAAGGGGUGUCUAAUUAUUCAAAAAUAUCAAUAGAUAAAAUGAUGGAACAUGAUGUUACCAAGUCUCAGACCAAAUUAAAUUCUAAUUAAAUUUCAAUAAUAAAAACAUAAAAAAAUAAACCUAGAUGGGGAC